rnacentral:rRNA from 1 species
UACGUAGGCAGCAAGCGUUGUUCGGAAUUACUGGGCGUAAAGAGUGUGUAGGCUGGUUUCUAAGUUUGGUGUGAAAUCUCCCGGCUUAACUGGGAGGGUGCGCCGAAAACUGGAAGGCUUGAGUGCCGGAGAGGAUGAGCGGAAUUCCCGGUGUAGCGGUGAAAUGACGUAGAUAGUCGGGAGGAACACCUGUGGUGUAGACGGCUAUCUGGACGGCGACUGACGCUGAGACACGAAAGCGUCGGGUAGCAAACAGG